rnacentral:rRNA from 1 species
GUUUCUCCCGUCCCCAGCCCGUGCCGGACCGGCGGAUUCCCUCCCUCCGGCCCGGCGCGCGGCUAUAUAUACCACCGCAAGCAGCGUCCAUUGCUCCUCACCAAGCAAGAGCAAAACCAAUCAACCACAGGUCGAUCGAUUCGCGAAGUACCCUCCGAUCACAACCCAAGACCGCCAUGGCUGACAAGUGCGGCAACUGCGACUGCGCCGACAAGACCCAGUGCGUGAAGAAGGGCGACGGCUACGGCAUCGUCAUGGUCGACACCGAGAAGAGCCACUUCGAGGUGCAGGAGGCCGCGGAGAACGACGGCAAGUGCAAGUGCGGCGCCAGCUGCACCUGCACCAACUGCACCUGCGGCCACUGAACAGGCCCGCCCCGCUGGGCCUCUCGGUCAUCGCGUACGCCUCUACCCGUACUAGUAACCCGUGUCAAUAAAGGUCGAUCUGUACGUGUGUGUCUACGUAUGUUGUGUUGUCGUCGUGCAAGAACCUGAAGGUUGGCUGAUGCGUGCAUAGGAUAGGAUCUUGGAUCAGCCGAUCGGUCCCGUGUUCCUCCCCUGUAACCAGUGGCUGAGCUUCAGGUACUACUACUAUGUGGUUGUGAGCUCGUACGUGUUGUGGCAUGUGACUUCAUUUCGCGUAUGCGUGUUGCACGGAAUGAAAUUUGUCGUGUGGUUAACUAGUACUUCCUCCGUGAAGAAAUAUGAA